GGGUGUAGCGCAGUCCGGUUAGCGCACCUGGUUUGGGACCAGGGGGUCGAAGGUUCGAAUCCUUUCACC
rnacentral:tRNA from 1 species